rnacentral:misc_RNA from 1 species
GAUGAAGAACGUAGUGAAAUGCGAUAAGUAAUGUGAAUUGCAGAAUUCAGUGAAUCAUCGAAUCUUUGAACGCACAUUGCGCCCCCUGGUAUUCCGGGGGGCAUGCCUGUCCGAGCGUCAUUGCAACCCCUCAAGCACAGCUUGUGUGUUGGGCUCUCGUCCCCCGUGGACGGGCCUGAAAUGCAGUGGCAGCACCGAGAUACCGGUGUCUGAGUGUAUGGGCAUUGAUCAUCACUCGAUAGACCCGAUCGGCGCUGACCGUCAAACCACGAUUCCUCGGAAUCAUCCAGUUUUGACCUCGGAUCAGGUAGGAAUACCCGCUGAACUUAAGCAUAUCAAUAAGCGGAGGA